rnacentral:lncRNA from 1 species
UCCAAUCUACCAGUGAGGUCCACGUGGGAUUAGCUGGAGGGAGCUAUGAAGUCAAGCGGCAAGCGGCAUCAGGUCUCCUAUGUGGGCUUCAGUGCCCACCACCUUGAAAGCUUAUUCCCUCAACUCCAUGAGCACCUCAGAGUCAAACUUCCGGAAAAUCUCCCUCCUUGCUCAGGACAGCCUCUUUGCACCCUAGCCUCUGUCCCAGCACCUGCUAGCAUCGCUCUCACAGCAGGAGCUGCCCUGCUCUUCUCACCAAGAUGCUGCCAGUGUAGCUCGGCCGAAGCCCUGCACCACACUGGAGUCCCGCUCUCCCCAGAGCGCCGGCCCUGCUGUGUGCUGCUCCUCCCUUUCUCUGCAACUCCCUCCAGGGCCUCUGAGGUUCUUUCUUGUGGCUGCUCCAUAAAACUUGGCGAUGGCCCGUGUUCCACUUCUACCC